rnacentral:rRNA from 1 species
AGCUCCAAUAGCGUAUAUUUAAUUUGUUGUGGUUAAAAAGCUCGUAGUUGGAUUUCGGCGGGGAUUGGUCGGGUUGAAUUGCUUCAAUUCUGACUUUUUUACCCCUGUGUUUUUCCAGAAUUUUACCGGGGGCCUUAACCUAUUGUCCGUUUGAACUGGCUGGUUUACUUUGAAAAAAUUAGAGUGCUCAAAGCAAGCUUGACUGCUUGAAUAUUCGUGCAUGGAAUAAUAGAAUAGGAAGUUGUUUCUAUUUUGUUGGUUCUCGGAAAUCGACUUAAUGAUUAAUAGGGAUAGUCGGGGGCAUUUGUAUUCAAACGACAGAGGUGAAAUUCUUGGACCGUUUGAAGACAAACUACUGCGAAAGCAUUUGCCAAGAAUGUUUUCA